rnacentral:rRNA from 1 species
CCUACGGGGGGCAGCAGUGGGGAAUAUUGCACAAUGGGCGCAAGCCUGAUGCAGCGACGCCGCGUGCGGGAUGGAGGCCUUCGGGUUGUAAACCGCUUUUGUUCAAGGGCAAGGCACGGUCUUUGGCCGUGUUGAGUGGAUUGUUCGAAUAAGCACCGGCUAACUACGUGCCAGCAGCCGCGGUAAUACGUAGGGUGCAAGCGUUAUCCGGAUUUAUUGGGCGUAAAGGGCUCGUAGGCGGUUCGUCGCGUCCGGUGUGAAAGUCCAUCGCUUAACCGGAGUAGUGCAUUGGAAACUGGGAGACU